rnacentral:ncRNA from 1 species
AAAAAAUAAGCGCCAGGACAUAAUAAAUUUAUGUUGACGAGGUCCUAGGUUAUCGAAAUAUUCGGCGGAUGCCUUGGUGGUAUUUACUUUACCAAAGAUUUAGUUAAAAAAUAAUGGUGACAUUAUAACAGACAUUAAAUU